rnacentral:rRNA from 1 species
UGCGUAGGUGGCAUGGUAAGUCGGAUGUGAAAUCCCGGGGCUCAACCCCGGAACUGCAUUCGAUACUGCUGAGCUAGAGUACUGGAGAGGAGAUUGGAAUUUACGGUGUAGCAGUGAAAUGCGUAGAUAUCGUAAGGAAGACCAGUGGCGAAGGCGGAUCUCUGGACAGUUACUGACACUGAGGCACGAAGGCCAGGGGAGCAAACG